rnacentral:lncRNA from 1 species
GGUUAAACAACUGAGUUUUUUAGGUGCAGAAGAUUAUAAACAGCUGACAAGAUUGGUUAUGAAUAGAUUAUUUACAAAUACCCUAUUGGCACAGUUUAAUUUAAAAGGUUCUGGU